GACGAACGCUGGCGGCGUGCCUAAUACAUGCAAGUAGGACGCAGUUGCGAACGGGUGAGUCAUGCGUAGGUAACUACCUAUUAGAGGGGGAUAACUAUUGGAAACGAUAGCUAAUACCGCAUACUAGUAGAUGGACCUGCGUUUUAUUAGCUAGUAGGUAGGGUAAUGGCCUACCUAGGCAACGAGACAUAGCCGGCCUGAGAGGGGGAUCGGCCACACUGGGACUGAGACACGGCCCAGGAUCCUUCGGGAGGCAGCAGUAGGGAAUCUUCGGCAAUGGGGGGAACCCUGACCGAGCAACGCCGCGUGAGUGAAGAAGGUGUUCGGAUCGUAAAGGUCUGUUGUUAAGGGAGCGGUACUUAACCAGAAAGGGACGGCUAACUACGUGCCAGCCGCCGCGGUAAUAC
rnacentral:rRNA from 1 species